AUUCGCCCUUAGAGUUUGAUCCUGGCUCAGGAUGAACGCUGGCGGCGUGCUUAACACAUGCAAGUCGAACGAGAACCAACGGAUUGAGGAUUCGUCCAAAUGAAGUUGGGGAAAGUGGCGGACGGGUGAGUAACGCGUGAGCAAUCUGCCUUGGAGUGGGGAAUAACGGUUGGAAACAGCCGCUAAUACCGCAUGACGCGUCUGGGAGGCAUCUCUCUGGACGCCAAAGAUUUAUCGCUCUGAGAUGAGCUCGCGUCUGAUUAGCUAGUUGGCGGGGCAACGGCCCACCAAGGCGACGAUCAGUAGCCGGACUGAGAGGUUGGCCGGCCACAUUGGGACUGAGACACGGCCCACACUCCUACGGGAGGCAGCAGUGGGGAAUAUUGGGCAAUGGGCGCAAGCCUGACCCAGCAACGCCGCGUGAAGGAAGAAGGCUUUCGGGUUGUAAACUUCUUUUAAGGGGGACGAACAAAUGACGGUACCCCUUGAAUAAGCCACGGCUAACUACGUGCCAGCAGCCGCGGUAAUACGUAGGUGGCAAGCGUUAUCCGGAUUUACUGGGUGUAAAGGGCGUGUAGGCGGGACUGCAAGUCAGAUGUGAAAACCACGGGCUCAACCUGUGGCCUGCAUUUGAAACUGUAGUUCUUGAGUACUGGAGAGGCAGACGGAAUUCCUAGUGUAGCGGUG
rnacentral:rRNA from 1 species